rnacentral:rRNA from 1 species
GUGGGGAAUCUUAGACAAUGGGCGCAAGCCUGAUCUAGCCAUGCCGCGUGAGCGAUGAAGGCCUUAGGGUUGUAAAGCUCUUUCGUGGGGGAAGAUAAUGACUGUACCCCAAGAAGAAGCCCCGGCUAACUCCGUGCCAGCAGCCGCGGUAAUACGGAGGGGGCUAGCGUUGUUCGGAAUUACUGGGCGUAAAGCGCACGUAGGCGGACUGGAAAGUCAGGGGUGAAAUCCCGGGGCUCAACCCCGGAACUGCCUUUGAAACUCCCAGUCUUGAGUUCGGGAGAGGUGAGUGGAAUUCCGGGUGUAGAGGUGAAAUUCGUAGAUAUUCGGAGGAACACCAGUGGCGAAGGCGGCUCACUGGCUCGAUACUGACGCUGAGGUGCGAAAGCGUGGGGAGCAAACAGGAUUAGAAACCCCUGUAGUCC